CCUACGGGCGGCAGCAGUGGGGGAUAUUGGACAAUGGGGGGAACCCUGAUCCAGCGACGCCGCGUGAGUGAAGAAGUAUGUCGGUAUGUAAAGCUCUGUCAGCAGGGAAGAAAGAAAUGACGGUACCUGACCAAGAAGCCCCGGCUAACUACGUGCCAGCAGCCGCGGGAAUACGUAGGGGGCAAGCGUUAUCCGGAAUUACUGGGUGUAAAGGGAGCGUAGACGGUUAAGUAAGUCUGGAGUGAAAGGCCGGGGCCCAACCCCGGGACUGCUCUGGAAACUAUUGAACUUGAGUGCAGGAGAGGUAAGCGGAAUUCCUAGUGUAGCGGUGAAAUGCGUAGAUAUUAGGAGGAACACCAGUGGCGAAGGCGGCUUACUGGACUGUAACUGACGUUGAGGCUCGAAAGCGUGGGGAGCAAACAGGAUUAGAUACCCUUGUAGUC
rnacentral:rRNA from 1 species